CGGGGUGUAGCUCAGUUGGCUUAGAGCACACGCAUGGGGUGCGUGGGGUCGCAGGUUCGAGUCCUGUCACCCCGA
rnacentral:tRNA from 1 species